GACAGGUGAGCUCUGCAGGGGAGGGGGGACAGGUGAGCCCGACAGGUGAGGAGGGAGAACAGGUGAGCUCUGCGGAUGAGAGUGGGAGCGGCCAGGUGAGCUCUACAGGUGAGGGGGGACAGGUGAGCUCUGCGGAUGAGAGUGGGAGCGGCCAGGUGAGCUCUACAGGUGAGCGGGGCAGUGGCCAGGUGAGCCCAACAGGUGAGGGGGGACAGGUGAGCUCUGCUGGUGGGAGCAGCCAGGUGAGCUCUGCAGGUGAGGGGGAACAGGUGAGUCCCACAGGUGAGAGUGGCCAGGUGAGUUCUGCAGGUGAUGGAAGGAGUGACCAGGUGAGCUCUGCAGGUGAGAGCGGCCAGGUGAGCUCUGCAGGUGAUGGAAGGAGUGACCAGGUGAGUCCCACAGGUGAGAGUGGCCAGGUGAGCUCUGCAGGUCAGGAGGGACAGGUGAGCCCAACAGGUGAGAGCAGUCAGGGAUUCCCCACAAGUGGGAGCAGCCAGGUGAGCCCAACAGGUGAGUGGGGGAGUGGCCAGGUGAGCCCCACAGGUGAGGAGGGACAGGUGAGCACCACAGGUGACAGUGAGAGUGGCCAGGUGAGCCCCACAGGUGAGGAGGGACAGGUGAGCCCCACAGGUGACUCCAGGUCCCCCAGGAGUGAGGUGGGGACACCUGGACAGGUUAGGAGAACACCUGGGCAGGUGGGGGAAACACCUGGACAUGGAAUAGGGACACCUGGACAGGUGAGGGGAACAUUUGGAGAUGGGCUGGGAAUACCUGGAAUGAGAUGGAAACACCUGGAGAUGGGGUAGAGACACCUGGACAGGUGAAGGGCACACCUGGGAUGGGCCAAGGACACCUGGACAGGUGAAGGGCACACCUGGGAUGGGCCAAGGACACCUGGACAGGUGAAGGGCACGCCUGGAGAGGUUAAGGACACACCCGGAGAGGGUCCAGUACACCUGGACAGGUGAUGGGCACACCUGGGAUGGGCUGGGAGCACCUGGAGAGGUGAUGGGCAGAGAGCCACACCUGGAGUUGUCUGUGCUCACCUGAGCUCACCUGAGCUCACCUGGGAAUCCCUGUGCUCACCCGGGGUCACUUGAGGUUACCUGGGCACACCUGGUCACACCUGAGCUCUCUUGGACUCACCUGGGUUACCUGUGCUCACCUGGGCACACCUGGGGCUACCUGGGCACACCUGGGCACACCUGAGCUCUCUUGGGCUCACCUGGGUUACCUGUGCUCAGCUGGCAUUACCUGUGCUCACGUGGGCACACCUGGGCACACCUGGGAAUCCCUGUGCUCACCUGGGGUCACUUGAGGUUACCUGUGCUCACCUGGGCACACCUGGGCACACCUGAGCUCACCUGGACUCACCUGUGCACACCUGAGGCUACCUGGGGCUACCUGGGCACACCUGGCAUUACCUGUGCCCAUCUGUGCUCACCUGGGGCUACCUGGGCUCACCUGGGCACACCUGGGGAUCCCUGGGAACACCUGGGGCUACCUGAGCUCACCUGGGCACACCUGGGCACACCUGUGCACACCUGGGGUUACCUGGGCACACCUGGGCACACCUGGGCACCCCUGGCAUUCCCUGUGCACACCUGGGCACACCUGGGCACCCCUGGCAUUCCCUGGGCUCACCUGGGCUCACCUGGGCACACCUGGGGCUACCUGUGCACA